rnacentral:rRNA from 1 species
CUGGACUGGCUCGUCAGACUAGAGUUUCGUGUACUGUUUAACUCUCAUCUCAGGUCGAUAGAGGGCAUUGGGGGGGGCCUUUUCCUCCUGUUAAACUUGCCAAUCCUUUAAAAAAGUUUUAAUCCGUAUAUUAGCCCCGGCAGGAUUUUAUUCCUUAAGCGAGUAACAUGGCUUUGUUGUUAUGUGAAUGCGAGUAAACCACCUGGUGUUCUUACCGAUGUCUGAUGGUAUAUUGAAUAAGGUCGCACAAAUUUUUUAAUUGAUGCCUCCUGUGGGUUCUAUGGUGUACAUUAUCCCCACCCUUUAAAAUUUUGAAUACCACAAGACCCCCCCUGUAAUACUGAAAAACAAAACUAAUUUGCUAGCUUGUGUGUGUGUCAAUGAAAUUCUAUAGGCGAAAUGAGAUUAACUUGUUAAUGGGAUAACAAAUGGAGUAAUUUUUAUUGUUUUUCCCCCCCCGGGUAUCUCAAUGUAUUUUUGAGUUACUGGAGGCUAGGCCCUACAAAAUUCCCGGGAGACAACCAGCCUGGACCCCAAAAAAGGGGAAAUUAGCCAGAAUCGGUUGAAAUUCGGGAAAACCCUGAAGGCAAAACCGUAACAUCUCUGACGUGCAAAUCUAUUGUCAGAGUUGGGUAUAGGGGCAAAAGACCAAUCGAACAUCUUAUUCUGCUGGUUUCUUUUAAAAA